rnacentral:tRNA from 1 species
ACUCACCUAAUAUAAUAAGUAUACUUGACUUCCAAUCAAGAAGUUUGAAAUAAUCAAGGUAAGUA